rnacentral:rRNA from 1 species
UACGAAGGGGGCUAGCGUUACUCGGAUUGACUGGGCGUAAAGGGCGCGUAGGCGGUUUGUACAGUCAGACGUGAAAUUCCUGGGCUCAACCUGGGGGCUGCGUUUGAUACGUGCAGACUUGAGUUCGGAAGAGGGUCGUGGAAUUCCCAGUGUAGAGGUGAAAUUCGUAGAUAUUGGGAAGAACACCGGUGGCGAAGGCGGCUCACUGGCUCAUUACUGACGCUCAUGCGCGACAGCGUGGGGAUCAAACAGG